rnacentral:lncRNA from 1 species
UCUCCCUUGCUUCUUCCAGGAGAGAGGGGGUUGAAAGAGCCAACAGGAACUGAGAAGCAUGAUAAACGAAGGAGGAAAAGUAACAAAGAGCUUGAAGACUUUCAUGGCUCCCAGGCCCUGGAUGGAGGCAGGCGGCCCCAGACAGACAGAACCAAGGAGGUGCCUGUGGCUGCAGAGCCCAGACUUGUUUUGGAAAAGAUGGAGAAGAGCCAGUAAACUUGGCUUCCUCGAUUCUGCUCAUGUGAGUAUCAUUUAUAUUUCUAACUAUUAUGCAACUGUCAUUAAAGCCCUGCAUUUCCACAGGUCUCUGUGGAGGAACUGCCUUGUUUGAUCUUUGCAAUGCUGGC